ensembl:lncRNA
UUAUAGAACGACCUGUAAUAUUAAACAAUUCUCAAAUGUUAGAAGCGUUUAUGCAAGGAAGGCUAUGUUUAAGUUGUGAUUCGUUAGAUCAUCCAAUGCCUUUAUGUCCUAACAAUUCUUUUGUUUGUCCUAACUGUCAUAAUAUAUCACAUAGAGGAAAUGAUUGUCCAAUGAGUUGUCGUUUUUGUUUAAAACAUCAUGUGGGCGUAUCUAUUAUGGAUUGUUUGAAAAGAGCUAGGAUACAAAAUGAAAAAAUUCUUAUUAAUAAUAAUGAUAAAAAUGAUAUGAACAAAUUAAAUAAAAAUAAUAAAAAUAAUACAGAUAAGGGUAAUAUAGGACCUAGAUUCGACAUAAGUACAAGACCUGAUAAUUCAUACGGAAGAAGUGUUUAUGUAUCUAAUUUAAAUCAUGAUAUAACGAACAAUCAAUUGAGAGAUGCAAUUAAUCAAAGCUUAGAUAAUGGAUUUGUUGUUCAUAUUGAUAGACAAGAUGGAUAUGCAUUUGUUGAGUUGUCAAAUUUAAAUUCAACAUUUCAGUUAGUUCAAAAGUCUAUUAAUAUUAAUUAUAAAAAAUUAAAAAUACAAUUUAAAAAAACAGGUCAAUUUUUAGUACCAGAUAAUUUAUCUAUUAGUUACAAUAUGUCAUCAGAUUUUCCCAAAAAUACAACUGUUUCAACUGCUGCUUCUGCUAUCACACUUGGUAACACUUCUAAUAAAGUAACACAUUUAAAUAAAAAAUUAAACCGAACUAUGUUAAACAUGUCAAACAAAAAAAAUACAAACAAUUGUUUAAACAAUGUUUUAGUUAGUGAUGUUACUACUCCUCCUCCUCUAUCAGUGGGUAAUUUUAAUAAAGCGUUAAAAAAUAAUACUAUUACCAGAAUGAAUAGUGCUAAUAAUAGCAACAGUAAUGCUAUUAAUAGUAACAACAAAACCAAUACUGCUACAACAAAUACAAGUGUAAGUGCUAGCAAUAAUAGUAAUAUAUCAGGUUUUGAAUCAGCAGAAAUAAACAAAAAUAUGAAUAUAUAUAAAAAUACGUACACAAAACAGCCAAAAAUGAUGCACUAUUUUAAUCAAACACAACAACUCUCUACGCAACAAAAAAAACAUAAACAUAUUGAGAAUCUUAAAACCAACACAAGUAACAUUGUUCAUUCUGGUCCUUCCACGGAUAAAGAUUUUAAUAUGAAGACGUUUAUAAAUACGAAGCAGAAUAAAAUACAAAAUGAUAAAAAUGAUAGUAAAUGUAAUUUUAUGUAUAAUGUUGAUAAUGAUAGUGUUAUGUUAGUUGGAGAACAGGGUAAAAAGGGUAAAACUUGGAACGUUAGUGGGUACACGAAUGGACACACGAAUGGACACACGAAUGGACACACGAAUGGACACAUGAAUGGACACACGAAUGGACACACGAAUGGACACAUGACUGACCACGUUAAUAGCUACGCGAAUAACGGAAAUAACAAUAACAACCAUGAAAAUAGCAACUACAAUACCAGAUACGAUAACAGUAUGAACUCCCUAGUUAAGAAUACAACAAACGGUAAUUACCAUUUAAUAAAAAAUGAUGACUCAUGUAAUGACACGAUAAAAAAUGAAUUUGAUUAUAAAUAUGUGGAUGACAAAGGAUCAGAUAACUGUCUAAAAAACAAUUUAGAUGAUGGUAUUAGUAACCGUACCAGUACCAAUAACAUUUGUAACAGUUUAUCCUCUAUGUAUUCACCUAACAACUCAUUUGAAAACAUACAUGAUAAGAAUAUAAAAUGGUAUGAUGAAAAUAAUAUGUUUAUAUACAACACAAAUGAAAUAUAUGAAUAUAAUGAUGUUAAUAAGAAUACAAAUAAUGAAACUAUUAAAAUGAUUGGUAUGAAUACUACACCUUCUGACGGUAUGUUAUACACCCACCUGUUUAACAAACUAGAUGACGAAAAGGAUUAUAUUCAUAAUUUUAACGACGAUAUGAAUGAGAAAAGACUAGACACAUGUAUAUUAAAUAAUGAUAUAUGUUCUAAUAGUACACUUCAAAACAACUUUCACAACAGUAAUGAGGUACAUUACAAUACUGACAUACAACACAAUAAUAACGAUACUAAUCUGAUGAAUGGUUUAAAUACAAGUAGUAUGUACAAAAAAUUGAAUAUGCACAAAAACGUAGCAAAAAAAUACUAUAAUGAUAAAGAAACAGAGGUAAGAACAGGAACAACUGGAACUGUAACCGGAAUAGGAACCGGAAUUGGAAUAGAAAAUGGUACAUGUAUUGAUAUAAAAUCCAUAAUUAAUAAUGCUAUUGAAACAAAUAAUAACAUUAUGACUUAUGACACACAUAAUAAUUAUAUUAAUAUACCUGAUAGUAGUAGUUUUAAUAAAAUCAAUGGUGGUGGAUAUUAUGACACAUAUGAUGUUAAUGUUAACAAUUGUAGUAGUGAUAAUUAUGUAAAUACAGAAACAUAUAUGGACAUAGAAAAUUACAACAACGUGAACAGAUACAGUAACAAAAAUAAUAGUAACAAUCGUUAUAGCGAUAAUAACAUCUCUAAUGAAUAUAAUUAUAAUAAAUAUAUGAAUGAAAAUAUUAAUAACAGCUCAGAACAAGAACAACAAAAAAAACAGCAAAAAGAACAACGAAAAGAACAGCAAAAAGAACAACAAAAAGAACAACAAAAGGAACAACAAAAGGAACAAGAAACAAAUUUAAAACUAACGAUAUUUUCACCUUGUAACUACGAGGAAAAUACUAAGAAUACAUCUAUGGAUAAAAUAAAUCAUAAGAACAAUGGAUUAGACAGGAAUAAUAUAGGUAUUAUUAGUAAUAGUGAAUAUAACACUGUACUAAUGAAUGAUAAUAAUAAAUAUUCAUAUAAUAAUAUAUGUAAUGAUAUGUUUUAUGGUAAUGAUGAUAUUUAUAACAUAUUUUCAAGAUUUGACUCAAUGAAAAUAUAUGAAGGUAAUAACAAUAGCAGCUUUAACAAUGACAGUUACAACAAUAACAGCAGUAACAACAACAAUAACAACAACAACAGUAAUAACUGUAAUCGUAAAAGUAGCAACGGAUAUAACUGUUAUGACCAAAAUGUACAUAAUAAUAGUAGCAAUAUAUUAAAUAAUAAAUUUUGUGAUGACCAACAAAUGAAUGAAAAACAUGGGUUAUCAUCAUCUAAUGGGUUCAUAGACGAAGACAUUAGGAUGAAUAUAUUAGAAGCAGCUGCACCGAAUAAUAGUUCUAUCGAUACUGUUACUGCUGAAACGAGCGUUAAUACUACCUUUAAUACUACUACAAAUAGUACCAUCAACAGCACUAUUAAUAGUAAUAGCAGCAGUAGCAGUAGUAGCAAUAGCAGUAACAAGGACGUGAUUAAUAAAUCUAAAAAAAUUAUAAAUAACACAAAUGAGGAUGUACAAAAUUUAAAUAAUAAUUUUGCAAAAAAUAAUAAAUUUAAUGAACUGGAUGCAAUUGAAAAAGAUUUAGAAUUACAUAUCAAGGCAUUAUGGAAUAUAAGAAAAAUAAAGUUAGUUGAAUCAUAU